GAUGAACGCUGGCGGCGUGCCUAAUACAUGCAAGUCGAGCGAACAGACGAGGAGCUUGCUCCUCUGACGUUAGCGGCGGACGGGUGAGUAACACGUGGAUAACCUACCUAUAAGACUGGGAUAACUUCGGGAAACCGGAGCUAAUACCGGAUAAUAUAUUGAACCGCAUGGUUCAAUAGUGAAAGACGGUUUUGCUGUCACUUAUAGAUGGAUCCGCGCCGCAUUAGCUAGUUGGUAAGGUAACGGCUUACCAAGGCGACGAUGCGUAGCCGACCUGAGAGGGUGAUCGGCCACACUGGAACUGAGACACGGUCCAGACUCCUACGGGAGGCAGCAGUAGGGAAUCUUCCGCAAUGGGCGAAAGCCUGACGGAGCAACGCUGCGUGAGUGAUGAAGGUCUUCGGAUCGUAAAACUCUGUUAUUAGGGAAGAACAAAUGUGUAAGUAACUAUGCACGUCUUGACGGCACCUAAUCAGAAAGCCACGGCUAACUACGUG
rnacentral:rRNA from 1 species